rnacentral:rRNA from 1 species
UACGAAGGGGGCUAGCGUUGUUCGGAUUUACUGGGCGUAAAGCGCACGUAGGCGGCUCGAUCAGUCAGGGGUGAAAUCCCAGAGCUCAACUCUGGAACUGCCUUUGAUACUGUCGAUCUGGAGUAUGGAAGAGGUGAGUGGAAUUCCGAGUGUAGAGGUGAAAUUCGUAGAUAUUCGGAGGAACACCAGUGGCGAAGGCGGCUCACUGGUCCAUUACUGACGCUGAGGAGCGAAAGCGUGGGGAGCGAACAGG